rnacentral:rRNA from 1 species
UACGAAGGGGGGCUAGCGUUGCUCGGAAUCACUGGGCGUAAAGCGCACGUAGGCGGCUUUUUAAGUCAGGGGUGAAAUCCUGGAGCUCAACUCCAGAACUGCCUUUGAUACUGAGAGCUCGAGUCCGGGAGAGGUGAGUGGAACUGCGAGUGUAGAGGUGAAAUUCGUAGAUAUUCGCAAGAACACCAGUGGCGAAGGCGGCUCACUGGCCCGGUACUGACGCUGAGGUGCGAAAGCGUGGGGAGCAAACAGGG